UACGAAGGGGGCUAGCGUUGCUCGGAAUCACUGGGCGUAAAGCGCACGUAGGCGGCUUUCUAAGUCGGGGGUGAAAUCCUGGAGCUCAACUCCAGAACUGCCUUUGAUACUGGAGAGCUUGAGUCCGGGAGAGGUGAGUGGAACUCCGAGUGUAGAGGUGAAAUUCGUAGAUAUUCGGAAGAACACCAGUGGCGAAGGCGGCUCACUGGCCCGGUACUGACGCUGAGGUGCGAAAGCGUGGGGAGCAAACAGG
rnacentral:rRNA from 1 species